ACGAACGCUGGCGGCGUGCUUAACACAUGCAAGUCGCACGGAAAGGCCCUGCUUGCAGGGUACUCGAGUGGCGAACGGGUGAGUAACACGUGGGUGAUCUGCCCUGCACUUCGGGAUAAGCCUGGGAAACUGGGUCUAAUACCGGAUAGGAGCCAUUUUUAGUGUGAUGGUUGGAAAGUUUUUUCGGUGUAGGAUGAGCUCGCGGCCUAUCAGCUUGUUGGUGGGGUAAUGGCCUACCAAGGCGGCGACGGGUAGCCGGCCUGAGAGGGUGGACGGCCACAUUGGGACUGAGAUACGGCCCAGACUCCUACGGGAGGCAGCAGUGGGGAAUAUUGCACAAUGGGCGCAAGCCUGAUGCAGCGACGCCGCGUGGGGGAUGACGGCCUUCGGGUUGUAAACUCCUUUCGCUAGGGACGAAGCUUUUUGUGACGGUACCUAGAGAAGAAGCACCGGCUAACUACGUG
rnacentral:rRNA from 1 species